UACGUAAGGGGCGAGCGUUAUCCGGAAUUACUGGGUGUAAAGGGAGCGCAGGCGGGAAGCCAAGUCAGCUGUGAAAACUACGGGCUUAACUUGUAGACUGCAGUUGAAACUGGUUUUCUUGAGUGAAGUAGAGGUUGGCGGAAUUCCGAGUGUAGCGGUGAAAUGCGUAGAUAUUCGGAGGAACACCGGUGGCGAAGGCGGCCAACUGGGCUUUAACUGACGCUGAGGCUCGAAAGUGUGGGGAGCAAACAGG
rnacentral:rRNA from 1 species